GCUUAAUUCUCUAAAUGCAAGACAAGGAUACAUAGAGUGCAUUAAUACUGAGAGGUGUAAGCAGCAGUUUUCUUAUUAAAUUUUCUAUUGUUACAUUCCUGCCUUCCUGUGCGAGCAGAACUGAUGGGCUGAAGGCAAAAGCUGCGCCCCAAGCACAAGAAAAUCUUUCAUUCAAUCAGUUUUAAAUACAAUAACUAAAAAGAAAAAAAUUUAAAGGUUGAAAUUAAAACUAGAUGAGAACUUGAUAUCCCUACUUCUACAAAGCAAAUCCAUGGCAACUACACCUCUUGUUGAUCAAAACCAACCAACCACAAUGAGUUCCCAAUGCAGUCAACAAGCCACAAUAAGAGCCAAAAGCAUCAACUUCUCAAUUCCCCUCACUAGUACAUCACACCAAUUUUCUUAGCAAAGUCAUCUCCAUCUUCAUCGUCUGCAUAUUGCUCUUCUGCGUCUGCAUUUUCACCCUCCUCAUAAUACUCUCCUUCAUCAACUUGCUCAUAUUCAUAGUCCCCUUCCCUUUGAUCAUCAGCUUCAUACUCAUGAUCUUCCACACCAUCUUCCACAGUCAUCACGUCCUCAGUCUCGGGCUCACUUGGAUUAGGCUGUUGAGAAGCAUGUUGAUCAGCUGCAACUUCAGUAGACUCUCCAACAGUCCCAACAACACCAGCAGCUGCAGAAUUGGAUUUUUCAUCUUUAAGCACUUGCUUGCUGGCUUCAUCCUUUGUGGAUGAAAGAUCACCUCGUGUCUCUGCAACUCCUGCACUGUAGGAGUUUCCGAGCAAGCUUUCCUUACUUUCUUUCUGAUUAUUUUCAUUCUUACUGACAAAAGAUACUCCACUCCCAGUAGCUGCGGCUUCAGCCUCUCUUUUUCUCUUCAGAAUCUCACUAAGAGGCAUUGGGCCUUCGAAAGAAAGAUUGCCUGAUGGUCGAUGAUCUUCCAGUUGUUUUCUCUUUCCAAGGGAUUGCUGCAUCCUACCCUCUAUAUUUUUUGUACCUUUCAGCUCUGCCAGACUUUUAGGACCAGCAAAAUCAGUUCUCCUCUCAUCUGUCAUUUCCCUCCUCAUUCGCAUACCUCUAAGAUUUCUACCUUCAGUAUUGUAGUCCUCUUCCACCCUAGCUUUUAUUCUGUCACGAAGCCUGCCUUGAUGAGAUGGGAUCUCUGACAUCCCAGAUGACAAUCUGCCCCAAUUCCUACCUCUGCCUAUUUCCAUUUCUACAUGUAAAUCACUGCCAUUGGUAGAUCUUUCUGGAAGCUUUAUCCUACCAUGAAGAAGGCUACUCAUAGAGCUUUCACGCGAGGGAAAAUUAUGCGAGUCCCUUUGUGAAGAACUCCAAUGACCUCUCUCCUCAACGUGGUUUUCUGGGAAAAAAUCAUGACUGACAACUGAUCUCAAGCCAUGAACUCUCCUCUGUUUUGACAAGCGAUAGCGCAGAUCUGACUCAUCAAUGAGUUCAGGGCUAUCUGCUUUUAAGUACGCUCUCCGUUCCAAAUGAGCUGGCCCAUCUAGCACUCUCUCUGAUGAAUCCCUACGUUGUUCCCAAGCAUGUUGCCCUUGCAUGAGUUCAUAUGUAUCAUAGUCUCGUAGAUCACGAUAUGUUUCUCGGUCAAUGUCAGCAACUGAACUGUAAUCAGCAGAAUGACCCAUAUCAUAUUCAUCCACAGGGUUCAAGCUCCUUCCUUCACGACCUCUUGUCCUUCCGUACUGAUCUUCACCAUGGUAAUAAUCAGAAUUUCUCAACUCAUUAUCUACAAGAACAUCAAAACCAGGAGAGGACUCCCUCAAAAACUCAUCAGCAUCCUUACCAUUCUGGAAAACAUGAUCAUCUUGUACUUGUGACUGAUGCACGCGAUUAAAAUGACUUGAGCUUCCAUUGACAACAGGAAGAAGAUUUGUUGCUUUGUAUUUAGAAAGCUCAGCAUCCAUGCUUUUAGAUGGUGGAAGAUUCCUUUCAACCCCUGCCCCAUUUCUUGGUGGAACAAUUUCUGGUUUAGAAGCAGGUUUAGCUUCAGCAGGUGCUCCAGCUCCCUUCGAGGAAUUUGCCUGUGGAGUCUUAUGGUCUUGAGACAACUUUUGAGGGCCACCAGAAGCCUUCUUUUGAGGUAAGAGUUCAGUACUAGAGUGUACCAUCGACUGUGAAACUUUGUUACUAGUAGGAUUAGGUCCAUGUAAGAAAGCACAUCUAUCACCUUUUAAGCAGAGCCCCUUCUGGAAGAAAAUGCAUGGGACUGCUUGUUUAGCUGAAUUUUGAGGUGUGUUCAUGGCAGUUGCCACUGCCAUAUGUGAUGGAGGUAAAGAGGAUCCAGCAGAAGCUGAUGCUUGGGUUCCAAACAAGCCAUCAAGGGGCUGAAAUAAGAAUAUUAACAUUCAAUGUCUAUAAGCUUGAACAAAUAAUUAACUAAUAAAACAUAUAAUUUUUAAUGACAAGAAGAAGAAAUUACUAAUUUACUGGUCCACAUAAAAAAUAAUAAAAAAAAUUUCCUAAUACCUAGAAAAGGUACAAAAAGAACAUAGCAAGGAAAUUGUAAGGCCAAUAAAAAACAAGAUAAGAUACUUACUGGGUGACGAAACCCACACUUUGGAUUCAAGCAAUUCCCAUUCAACCAGAAGUAACAAUCCCUUGGGUUUACGCGGGCAUAUUCACUAUGGCGAUACUCACAUUCACUUCCCUGUUGACAGAAAUUACAAAUAAGGAGCAAUAUCAACUGGAGUGGAUGGUCAAGGCAAAAAGCCCUGGGAAGCAAACAAUUCAUGAAUUCUAUUCUGUCAAUGAAAGCCUAUUUUUGGAAUAAUUGCUCAUUGUUCACUUUAUAUGUAGCAAAAUAUUCACGACAAGUUCAAGCUGCUUCCUGAGAAAGAGCCAAAAACACAGGAGUGAAAGACUACUAGCAAUACUACUGCAUUAAACCAUCCUAUGAUUCCUAUCCCAGAAAAUGGUUAUAUUAUUUUCUCACAAUUUGGUGUUAAAUCCUUGAUAUUAUGUCCUCAGAAGCGAAGUUAGCAACAAAGCAGUGUAAAACAUGCCAAGUAACUACAUAAUCAUCAAAACUAAACAAAAAGAAACGCAAAUCGAUCUCUAUCAAUAUCUACACAAUCAGGUUCGCAAAGAAAGAAACUUUUAUCUAAACAGAAAUGCUACAUAUGUCAAUAUACACAAUCUCUGUUGACACACCAUCAAGAGAAAUACAAAUCAGACGCCUAAAAAUACAACAUAAGAAUCAGAUUAACCAGGUAUACUCAUUAAAUUCAAAAGGGAAUCUUCCUACGAACGAAUAGAAACCUUAAAUGCAUCCAACAUCAUGGAAACCUAAUACAAUAAAGCCAAAUCGUAAAUCUGAAACCCUACGUAGAAACAAGCACAAAUAUCCCCAAACAGCAAUGAUAUCAAAAACAAGAAGGAACAAAGAUAAAAGCAUAACAAAACAAAACCUUUUUGCAGGUUAAAGGAGAAGCAAGAAAGUAAACGCAAUCCGUAUUCCUUUUCAAGGCCUCUUCUUCUGCAGACGGCACCGUCGCUGUUGCUUGCUGCUGCUGCGUGGCCGCAAUCAUGGCUGUUCUUUUCUAAAGAAACCCAAGAACACCUAGAUCUAUUCGAUUUCAGAUCGAGCUACACAGAGUGAGAUGAGGCAAGAACCGAUCCAAGAAUCAAGAAAGAGGAAGAACUGGAAGAGCCGCCACCGCAACAGAGGAAGAGGAGGGAGCUAGAGGAAGAGGAGGAGUGUUAAGGUAAAGAAGAGAGGGAGAGAAGGGCAAAUUGGAAGCUAUUGGAAGCUAAAGGCUAAAAGAGGCAAUAGCUUUUUCUUGUUUUUAAGGUGUUGAAAAAAGGGAGAUGAGAAUGGAGACGUG
rnacentral:misc_RNA from 1 species